AUGGGUCAUACUGACAGUUGCAUGAGUCUGCCUGGCACUGACCCUGGGUCCCUCUGGGGCAGAAGCUUCAGCGGGGCCUUGCUCCUGUCAUCUACCCAGAUCAUUUUGAUCAUUUUUCUGCCUCCUCAGUGUGAGCAUCACUUCCUUGCGGUUUCCCUUCAGUGUGAGUAUCACUUCCUUUUAGAUGUUGGGAGGCAGACCCAAUACCUCUCCCCAGGCAGAAGCCUCCUACAUAGCUUGUCGCUCCAUGGGAAUAGCCCAGCACCCACCCUACUAUGCAAGCUCCUUGUCGGUACCCCCAGCUUGGGGAGGACAGGCCCACAGUGGCCCUUCGUCUCUAGUCUCCUCAUGGGACCAAGAGUGCCAGGCUGCGAUGGCACAGGAGCGGCUGAGAGGAGCUACCCCACGUCCGAGGAGUGGCAGCUGCGAGGGCGCAGGAGGGCCGAAAGGAGCUACUCCACGUUCAAGGUCAGACGGGUGACCUCGUCCAAGGUAAGGAGGAGUGGCUGCGCUUUGCUGGAGCAUUCCUGAAGAGAUACCCCACAUCCAAGGCAAGAGAAACCCAAGUAAGACGGUAGGUGUUGCGAGAGGGCAUUAGAGGGCAGACACACUGAAACCAUAAUCACAGAAAACUAGCCAAUCUGAUCACAUGGACCACAGCCUUGUCUAACUCAAUGAAACUGAGCCAUGCCAUGUGGGGCCACCCAAGAUGGGUGGGUCAUGGUGGAGAGGUCUGACAGAAUGUGGUCCACUGGAGAAGGGAAUGGCAAACCACUUCAGUAUUCUUGCCUUGAGAACCCCAUGAACAGUAUGAAAAGGCAAAAUGAUAGGAUACUGAAAGAGGAACUCCCCAGGUCGGUAAGUGCCCAAUAUACUACUGGAGAUUAGUGGAGAAAUAACUCCAGAAAGAAUGAAGGGAUGGAGCCAAAGCAAAAACAAUACUCAGUUGUGGAUGUGACUGGUGGUAGAAGCAAGGUCUGAUGAUGUAAAGAGCAUUAUUGCAUAGGAACCUGGAAUGCUAGGUCCAUGAAUCAAGGCAAAUUGGAAGUGGUCAAACAGGAGAUGCUAAGAGUGAACGUCGGCAUUCUAGGAAUCAGCGAACUAAAAUGGACUAGAAUGGGUGAAAUUAACUCAGAUGACCAUUAUAUCUACUACUGUGGGCAGGAACAGAGAAGGCAAUGGCAUCCCACUCCAGUACUGUUGCCUGGAAAAUCCCAUGGAUGGAGGAGCCUGGUAGGCUGCAGUCCAUGGGGUCACACAGAGUCGGACAUGCCUGAAGCGACUGCAGCGGCAGCGGGCAGGAAUCUCUUAGAAGAAAUGGAGUAGCCAUUAUGGUCAACAAAAGAGUCCGAAAUGCAGUACUUGGAUGCAAUCUCAAAAAUGCAGAAUGAUCUCUGUUCGUUUCCAAGGCAAACCAUUCAAUAUCACAGUAAUCUAAGCCUAUGCCCCAACCAGUAACGCUGAAGAAGCUGAAGUUGAACGGUUCUAUGAAGACCUACAAGACCUUUUAGAACUAACACCCCAAAAAGAU
ensembl:lncRNA